rnacentral:misc_RNA from 1 species
CCAAACUUGGUCAUUUAGAGGAAGUAAAAGUCGUAACAAGGUCUCCGUUGGUGAACCAGCGGAGGGAUCAUUAUCGAGUUUUUAACUCCCAAACCCUUUGUGAACAUAUUUUUCUUGUUGCUUCGGCGGAUCGUCCCAGGCGAGCUUUUCGUGAGCUUCUCUGGAAUCAGGCGUCCGCCGGAGGUAUCAAACUCUUGCAUUUUUAUAGCAUUCUCUGAGUGGCCGAAAGGCAACAAAACAAAUGAAUCAAAACUUUCAACAACGGAUCUCUUGGUUCUGGCAUCGAUGAAGAACGCAGC